AGAGUUUGAUCCUCGGCUCAGGACGAACGCUGGCGGCGUGCCUAACACAUGCAAGUCGAGCGGGGACUUCGGUCCUAGCGGCGGACGGGUGAGUAACACUGGGUAACCUGCCUUGUAGAGGGGGAUAGCCUUCCGAAAGGAAGAUUAAUACCGCAUAACAUUGAGAUAUCGCAUGAUAUUUUAAUCAAAGGAGCAAUCCGCUACAAGAUGGACCCGCGGCGCAUUAGCUAGUUGGUGAGGUAACGGCUCACCAAGGCCACGAUGCGUAGCCGGCCUGAGAGGGUGAACGGCCACAUUGGAACUGAGACACGGUCCAGACUCCUACGGGAGGCAGCAGUGGGGAAUAUUGCACAAUGGGCGAAAGCCUGAUGCAGCAACGCCGCGUGAGUGAUGAAGGCCUUCGGGUUGUAAAGCUCUGUCUUCUGGGACGAUAAUGACGGUACCAGAGGAGGAAGCCACGGCUAACUACGUG
rnacentral:rRNA from 1 species